UACGUAGGUGGCAAGCGUUGUCCGGAAUUAUUGGGCGUAAAGCGCGCGCAGGCGGUCCCUUAAGUCUGAUGUGAAAGCCCACGGCUCAACCGUGGAGGGUCAUUGGAAACUGGGGGACUUGAGUACAGAAGAGGAAAGUGGAAUUCCAUGUGUAGCGGUGAAAUGCGUAGAGAUGUGGAGGAACACCAGUGGCGAAGGCGACUUUCUGGUCUGUAACUGACGCUGAGGCGCGAAAGCGUGGGGAGCAAACAGG
rnacentral:rRNA from 1 species